rnacentral:rRNA from 1 species
CGCCAGCCUGACGGAGCCAGACCGCGUGGGGGAGGAAGGCCCUUGGGUUGUAAACCCCUUUUCUCAGGGAAGAAACCUGACGGUACCUGAGGAAAAAGCCUCGGCUAACUCCGUGCCAGCAGCCGCGGUAAUACGGAGGAGGCAAGCGUUAUCCGGAAUUACUGGGCGUAAAGCGUUCGUAGGGGGCUCGUCAAGUCUGCUGUCAAAGACCGGAGCUCAACUCCGGGCAGGCAGUGGAAACUGGUGGGCUAGAGGGCGACAGGGGUAGAGGGAAUUCCCAGUGUAGCGGUGAAAUGCGUAGAGAUUGGGAAGAACACCGGUGGCGAAAGCGCUCUACUGGGUCGCACCUGACCCUCAGGGACGAAAGCUAAGGGAGCG